GGGUUGUGAGGUUAAGCGACUAAGCGUACACGGUGGAUGCCCUGGCAGUCAGAGGCGAUGAAGGACGUGCUAAUCUGCGAUAAGCGUCGGUAAGGUGAUAUGAACCGUUAUAACCGGCGAUUUCCGAAUGGGGAAACCCAGUGUGAUUCGUCACACUAUCAUUAACUGAAUCCAUAGGUUAAUGAGGCGAACCGGGGGAACUGAAACAUCUAAGUACCCCGAGGAAAAGAAAUCAACCGAGAUUCCCCCAGUAGCGGCGAGCGAACGGGGAGCAGCCCAGAGCCUGAAUCAGUGUGUGUGUUAGUGGAAGCGUCUGGAAAGGCGCGCGAUACAGGGUGACAGCCCCGUACACAAAAAUGCACAUGCUGUGAGCUCGAUGAGUAGGGCGGGACACGUGGUAUCCUGUCUGAAUAUGGGGGGACCAUCCUCCAAGGCUAAAUACUCCUGACUGACCGAUAGUGAACCAGUACCGUGAGGGAAAGGCGAAAAGAACCCCGGCGAGGGGAGUGAAAAAGAACCUGAAACCGUGUACGUACAAGCAGUGGGAGCACAGAGCAAUCUGUGUGACUGCGUACCUUUUGUAUAAUGGGUCAGCGACUUAUAUUCUGUAGCAAGGUUAACCGAAUAGGGGAGCCGAAGGGAAACCGAGUCUUAACUGGGCGUUAAGUUGCAGGGUAUAGACCCGAAACCCGGUGAUCUAGCCAUGGGCAGGUUGAAGGUUGGGUAACACUAACUGGAGGACCGAACCGACUAAUGUUGAAAAAUUAGCGGAUGACUUGUGGCUGGGGGUGAAAGGCCAAUCAAACCGGGAGAUAGCUGGUUCUCCCCGAAAGCUAUUUAGGUAGCGCCUCGUGAAUUCAUCUCCGGGGGUAGAGCACUGUUUCGGCAAGGGGGUCAUCCCGACUUACCAACCCGAUGCAAACUGCGAAUACCGGAGAAUGUUAUCACGGGAGACACACGGCGGGUGCUAACGUCCGUCGUGAAGAGGGAAACAACCCAGACCGCCAGCUAAGGUCCCAAAGUCAUGGUUAAGUGGGAAACGAUGUGGGAAGGCCCAGACAGCCAGGAUGUUGGCUUAGAAGCAGCCAUCAUUUAAAGAAAGCGUAAUAGCUCACUGGUCGAGUCGGCCUGCGCGGAAGAUGUAACGGGGCUAAACCAUGCACCGAAGCUGCGGCAGCGACACUGUGUGUUGUUGGGUAGGGGAGCGUUCUGUAAGCCUGCGAAGGUGUGCUGUGAGGCAUGCUGGAGGUAUCAGAAGUGCGAAUGCUGACAUAAGUAACGAUAAAGCGGGUGAAAAGCCCGCUCGCCGGAAGACCAAGGGUUCCUGUCCAACGUUAAUCGGGGCAGGGUGAGUCGACCCCUAAGGCGAGGCCGAAAGGCGUAGUCGAUGGGAAACAGGUUAAUAUUCCUGUACUUGGUGUUACUGCGAAGGGGGGACGGAGAAGGCUAUGUUGGCCGGGCGACGGUUGUCCCGGUUUAAGCGUGUAGGCUGGUUUUCCAGGCAAAUCCGGAAAAUCAAGGCUGAGGCGUGAUGACGAGGCACUACGGUGCUGAAGCAACAAAUGCCCUGCUUCCAGGAAAAGCCUCUAAGCAUCAGGUAACAUCAAAUCGUACCCCAAACCGACACAGGUGGUCAGGUAGAGAAUACCAAGGCGCUUGAGAGAACUCGGGUGAAGGAACUAGGCAAAAUGGUGCCGUAACUUCGGGAGAAGGCACGCUGAUAUGUAGGUGAAGUCCCUCGCGGAUGGAGCUGAAAUCAGUCGAAGAUACCAGCUGGCUGCAACUGUUUAUUAAAAACACAGCACUGUGCAAACACGAAAGUGGACGUAUACGGUGUGACGCCUGCCCGGUGCCGGAAGGUUAAUUGAUGGGGUUAGCGCAAGCGAAGCUCUUGAUCGAAGCCCCGGUAAACGGCGGCCGUAACUAUAACGGUCCUAAGGUAGCGAAAUUCCUUGUCGGGUAAGUUCCGACCUGCACGAAUGGCGUAAUGAUGGCCAGGCUGUCUCCACCCGAGACUCAGUGAAAUUGAACUCGCUGUGAAGAUGCAGUGUACCCGCGGCAAGACGGAAAGACCCCGUGAACCUUUACUAUAGCUUGACACUGAACAUUGAGCCUUGAUGUGUAGGAUAGGUGGGAGGCUUUGAAGUGUGGACGCCAGUCUGCAUGGAGCCGACCUUGAAAUACCACCCUUUAAUGUUUGAUGUUCUAACGUGGACCCGUGAUCCGGGUUGCGGACAGUGUCUGGUGGGUAGUUUGACUGGGGCGGUCUCCUCCUAAAGAGUAACGGAGGAGCACGAAGGUUGGCUAAUCCUGGUCGGACAUCAGGAGGUUAGUGCAAUGGCAUAAGCCAGCUUGACUGCGAGCGUGACGGCGCGAGCAGGUGCGAAAGCAGGUCAUAGUGAUCCGGUGGUUCUGAAUGGAAGGGCCAUCGCUCAACGGAUAAAAGGUACUCCGGGGAUAACAGGCUGAUACCGCCCAAGAGUUCAUAUCGACGGCGGUGUUUGGCACCUCGAUGUCGGCUCAUCACAUCCUGGGGCUGAAGUAGGUCCCAAGGGUAUGGCUGUUCGCCAUUUAAAGUGGUACGCGAGCUGGGUUUAGAACGUCGUGAGACAGUUCGGUCCCUAUCUGCCGUGGGCGCUGGAGAACUGAGGGGGGCUGCUCCUAGUACGAGAGGACCGGAGUGGACGCAUCACUGGUGUUCGGGUUGUCAUGCCAAUGGCACUGCCCGGUAGCUAAAUGCGGAAGAGAUAAGUGCUGAAAGCAUCUAAGCACGAAACUUGCCCCGAGAUGAGUUCUCCCUGACCCUUUAAGGGUCCUGAAGGAACGUUGAAGACGACGACGUUGAUAGGCCGGGUGUGUAAGCGCAGCGAUGCGUUGAGCUAACCGGUACUAAUGAACCGUGAGGCUUAACCUUACAACGCCGAAGGUGUUU
rnacentral:rRNA from 1 species